AGAGUUUAAUCUUGGCUCCGAGUGGACGCUUUCUAUUAGCUUUACACAUGCAAGUCGAAUGAGGAUUUAAUAAAUAAUCCUUCAUGGCGUACGGGUGAGGAUGAGUAAGAAUGCAACCCAUAGGAAAGCUAUAAAAUGGCUUAUAAAUAAAAGAUAAAACAUUUUGAAUUCGACUAUUAAUUACUUAAAAUGUUAUUGAAACCCUAUAACGCGAACAAACGUAGUUUGUGGCGUUUGGGGAUUUUAUCGCCUAUGGAUGUGCUUACGUUAGAUUAGGUAGUUGGUAAGGUAAAAGCUUACCAAGCCAAUGAUCUAUAGCCGGUUUGAAAGAAUGAUCGGCCACAAUGGUCAUGAAAGAAUGGCCAUACCAGUCUUUUGUACUUGGUCAGCAGUGAGGAAUCUUGGACAAUGACCGAAAGGUUGAUCCAGCUAAAUAGAAGAGUGAAAUGGCAAGACGUCAUAUAACUCUAAAGAGAAGGAAGAUAAUGACAUUACUUCUCUAGUAAUCCUGACUAAUUUCGUGCCAGCAGUCGCGGUAAUACGAAAAGGAUUAGCGUCAUUCAUCUUUAAUAGGUGUAAAGGGUAUGUAGGCAGUCUUAUUUAUUAAACUAAAAGGAUGAAUAAAUAAACCUACAGUUUUAAAAGGCAACAGGAGAAUCACUGAUUCUUCUGAGGCCGGACUAGAGUAAUAUAGAAGAAAGAGGAAUUUCAAAUGGAAGGAUGGAAUCUAUAGAUAUUUGAAGGAACUUCUAAGGCGAAGGCUUCUUUCUAAAUUUUUACUGACGCUGAGAUACGAAAGUGUGGGUAGCAAAAAGGAUUAGAUACCCUUGUAGUCCACACCCUAAACCAUGAGUGUAAAUUAUUUUUACAUUAGGUCAAAGACUCGUAAGAGUUUCGGCCCACACACUCCACCUGGGAAGUACGAUCGCAAGAUUAAAACCCAAAAGAAUAGACGGUCUUUCAUACCAGCAGUGAAGCAUGUUGUUUAAUUUGAUGAUCCCCAAAAAAUCUUACCAAUCCUUGAAAUCCCAGUUACCUUCUCCUUCUCGUAAAGCUUGGCACCCAGGCGCGCGCCGCGCGCCGUGGGUCUGGUCUAGGGGAGGGGGACGCGACUCCCAGCAGGCGUUGCAUGGCUGUCCUCAGUUCUUGUUGUGAAAUUUUAGGUUAAGUCCGCUAACGAACAAAACCCCUCCGUAUUGUUAAAUUAUACUAUACGUCCAUCAAAUAGAAUUUGAGGUUUUAGGGAUUAAGACAAGCCCUCAUGACCCUAAUGGAUUGGGCUACAGACGUGCCACAUUAGUUGAAACAAAAGGAUACAAAGGUGUAAGCUUUAGUUAAUCCUUAAAUUCAACUUUGUACUAACCGAAGGCUGCAAUUUGCCUUCGCGAAGUUGGAAUUGCUAGUAAUCGUGAAUCACCAUGUCACGGUGAAAUUUAAUCUGGAAGAUGUACUAAUCGCCCGUCAAGAGCCGGAAGUGAGUGAUGCAAGAAGUUAGAGUUAUUUAUUCUUUUAUUCCUUUUAUACAAUAAUGGGCUCGA
rnacentral:rRNA from 1 species